AGCAGCCGCGGUAAUUCCAGCUCCAAUAGCGUAUAUUAAAGUUGUUGCAGUUAAAAAGCUCGUAGUUGAAUUUCGGGAUUAGUACGUCGGUCGUGCCUUAGGUACGUACUGGUGUUACUGGUUCCUACCUUCUGACGAACCAUCAUGUCAUUAAUUUGGUGUGGUGGGGAAUCAGGACUGUUACUUUGAAAAAUUAGAGUGUUUAAAGCAGGCUCGCGCUUGAAUACAUUAGCAUGGAAUAAUGAAAUAGGACGUUGAUCCUAUUUUGUUGGUUUCUGGGAUUGACGUAAUGAUUAAUAGGGAUAGUUGGGGGCAUUAGUAUUCAAUUGUCAGAGGUGAAAUUCUUGGAUUUAUUGAAGACUAACUACUGCGAAAGCAUUUGCCAAGGAUGUUUUCAUUAAUCAAGAACGAAAGUUAGGGGAUCGAAGACGAUCAGAUACCGUCGUAGUCUUAACCAUAAACUAUGCCGACUAGGGAUCGGAUGAUGUUAUUUUUAAUGACUCAUUCGGCGCCUU
rnacentral:rRNA from 1 species